GAUGAAGAACGUAGCGAAAUGCGACAAGUAAUGUGAAUUGCAGAAUUCCGUGAAUCAUCGAAUCUUUGAACGCACAUUGCGCCCGCCAGUAUUCUGGCGGGCAUGCCUGUUCGAGCGUCAUUUCAACCAUCAAGCCCUGCUUGCGUUGGGGUCCUGCGGCUGCCCGCAGGCCCUGAAAACCAGUGGCGGGCUCGCUAGUCACACCGAGCGCAGUAAUACAUCUCGCUUUGGGCGUGCGGCGGGUUCUUGCCGUUAAACACCCCCUUUUUACCAAGGUUGACCUCGGAUCAGGUAGGAAUACCCGCUGAACUUAAGCAUAUCAAUAAGCGGAGGA
rnacentral:misc_RNA from 1 species